AUUCCCAUGUUAGUACCACUAUUUCACGCUACAGAAUUAGUGGCUAUGCUAAUGGGAUAGACAAAACUGCCAUCGUCUGAAGGGAAAGAUGCUGUGUUCAUUUUCUCUAAAUAAAUUGGCAGGACAGUUCUAA